GUGGUAGGGGAGCGUUCUGUAAGCCGAAGAAGGUGUAUUGAGAAGUAUGCUGGAGGUAUCAGAAGUGCGAAUGCUGACGUGAGUAACGACAAAACGGGUGAAAAACCCGUUCGCUGAAAGACCAAGGGUUCCAGUCCAACGUUAAUCGGGGCUGGGUGAGUCGACCCCUAAGGCGAGGCCGAGAGGCGUAGUCGAUGGGAAAUUGGUUAAUAUUCCAAUACUUCUGUGUAAUGCGAUGAGAGGACGGAGAAGGUUAAGUCAGCCUGGCGUUGGUUGUCCAGGUGGAAGACAGUAGGCAUGCAUCUUAGGCAAAUCCGGGGUGCUCUAUGCUGAGAGUCGAUAGCAAGCUGUACUUGUACAGUGAAGUGGCUGAUACCAUGCUUCCAGGAAAAGUCUCUAAGCUUCAGUUACACAGGAAUCGUACCCGAAACCGACACAGGUGGUCAGGUCGAGUAGACCAAAGCGCUUGAGAGAACUCUGCUGAAGGAACUAGGCAAAAUGGUACCGUAACUUCGGGAGAAGGUACGCUGCUGACGGUGAUGGGAUUUGCUCCCUGAGCGGUUGGCAGCCGCAGAAACCAGGCCGCUGCAACUGUUUAUUAAAAACAUAGCACUCUGCAAACACGAAAGUGGACGUAUAGGGUGUGAUGCCUGCCCGGUGCUGGAAGGUUAAUUGAUGGGGUUAGCGUAAGCGAAGCUCUUGAUCGAAGCCCCAGUAAACGGCGGCCGUAACUAUAACGGUCCUAAGGUAGCGAAAUUCCUUGUCGGGUAAGUUCCGACCUGCACGAAUGGCAUAAUGAUGGCGGCGCUGUCUCCAGCAGAGGCUCAGUGAAAUCGAAAUCGCUGUGAAGAUGCAGUGUACCCGCGGCUAGACGGAAAGACCCCGUGAACCUUUACUGCAGCUUGACAUUGAACUUUGACCUUACUUGUGUAGGAUAGGUGGGAGGCUUUGAAGUUGGAACGCUAGUUCCAAUGGAGCCGUCCUUGAAAUACCACCCUGGUAAUGUUGAGGUUCUAACUCUGCCCCGUAAUCCGGGGCGAGGACCAUGUCUGGUGGGUAGUUUGACUGGGGCGGUCUCCUCCUAAAGAGUAACGGAGGAGUACGAAGGUGCGCUCAGCGUGGUCGGAAAUCACGCGUAGAGUAUAAAGGCAAAAGCGCGCUUAACUGCGAGACCCACAAGUCGAGCAGGUACGAAAGUAGGUCUUAGUGAUCCGGUGGUUCUGUAUGGAAGGGCCAUCGCUCAACGGAUAAAAGGUACUCUGGGGAUAACAGGCUGAUACCGCCCAAGAGUUCAUAUCGACGGCGGUGUUUGGCACCUCGAUGUCGGCUCAUCUCAUCCUGGGGCUGAAGCAGGUCCCAAGGGUAUGGCUGUUCGCCAUUUAAAGAGGUACGCGAGCUGGGUUUAGAACGUCGUGAGACAGUUCGGUCCCUAUCUACCGUGGGCGCUGGAAAUUUGAGAGGAUCUGCUCCUAGUACGAGAGGACCAGAGUGGACGAACCUCUGGUGUACCGGUUGUGACGCCAGUCGCAUCGCCGGGUAGCUAUGUUCGGAAGGGAUAACCGCUGAAAGCAUCUAAGCGGGAAGCCUACCUCAAGAUAAGAUUUCCCCAGGACUUCAUGUCCUCUAAAGAGCCGUUCGAGACCAGGACGUUGAUAGGUUGGGUGUGGAAGCACGGUGACGUGUGAAGCUGACCAAUACUAAUUGCUCGUGAGGCUUGACUAU
rnacentral:rRNA from 1 species